GGGACGGGUAGGAGAAACGGGCGGGUGGUCCAGGGCAGAAUCCAGAGAUGGAUGGAUCGGAUCGGAUCGGAUCCGAUCAAGGACAUGACACGAAGUUGGCGCGAGCCGAGACCGAGACCCACCCGAUCCCGACCUUUUUGACGCACGAGCGAAUCGAGCGAAGAAAGAGAAAGACAAGCCAGCGAAGGACUUGCUCUUUGCUUCUGCUGCUGCUGCUUCUUCUUCUUCUUCUUCUUCUUCUACUGCUGCCUGCAAAAGUUCCGCCAUUGCCACCCCACUCGACCUUCUCGUUUCAAGCACUUGGUCUGCACUCUGAGCUAACGCACCCGCAUUCGAGACCCCACCGAGCUCUCACAUAGAAACAACCUCCGAAAGAUAGAGGGAAACGAGACGUUGAAGCUGCGAGAUUCGAACCCUCCUGCCCUGCAAUUCACCAGUUCGGGGAAGCACCGACCUUGGUGGUUCGAACUUAGGGUUUUUGAUGUUCUUAUCCGUUGUUGAUCAAUUGGGGAGCUUCAUUUUGGUUUUUUGCGAAUUUUCUUCGCAGACAUUCUGAUCCUAGGGUUUUUUGGGAUUUCCGAGAGUUCAUAUUUACCUUGGCGCUUUGGACAUGUGGCUGUCUGAAUAUUUCGUUUGGAAACAGAAAUACCAGCAGUGGCUGGGUGUUUCAAUGGGUUUCUGGUGUGUAUGAAGAUGGUUUACUUGUCUGCUGGUAGGUGCUGAGGUUGAGAAUUUAUCUGCAUUUGAUGGUUGAAAAUCAGGCAUUGCAGGUCAUUUGUAGUUGGACUUAACAGCAUUGAUUUGGGCAUUCGUGGGUCUGUGCUUGGUGCAUGAUCCUAUUUUUCAAGAAAUGCAACCACAUCAGGGCUUCAGAAUCGAUUUGGGUGACUUGAAAGCUCAAAUUGUGAAGAGGAUUGGAGUGGACAGAUCAAAACGGUACUUUUAUUAUCUGAACCAGUUCUUGAGCCAAAAGCUUAGUAAGGUUGAUUUCGACAAGCUAUGCUGUCGAAUGCUUGGAAGGGAGAAUCUCCCAUUGCACAAUCAGUUCAUAAGAUCGAUAUUGAAGAAUGCAUGCCAAGCCAAAACACCUCCGUCUGUUUAUGAAGCAGAUCCUGCAAAACCUGUCUCACGAACUGCCAAACUUUUGCCUAGCGUAGAAGACGGUCCUGACCAAAAUGGGUCACUUAUUCAAAAUCAAAACCAGAGUUCCUCUAUUUGGUCAAAUGGAGUUCCUCAAGUCUCUCUCCGAAAGAGCAGGUCUGGAAUUCGUGAAAGGAAGGUCAAGGAUAGGUCAAGUCCGCUGGGGCCAAAUGGAAAGGUGGAAAGCUUGUACCAUUCAACUGCCACAGAAGAUAGCGGUAGCAAGAUUAUGACUGAGAAUGGGCUUUUGACUCCAUGUGAUUACGGAAGAUCAUUGCAGAACUAUCAAUCUGCUCCUGGGCUGCUUGAGAAGGAUGGAGGCCCUAUUCAGGAACCCACAGAUAAAUCUAGAGCGCACAGUAAAAGUGAGGUUGCGAUGGCCAUAGUGGAAGAUGGGGAAGAGGUGGACCAGGCAACCCUCUCUAGUUUCUCUAGAAUUCCUUUGCUUGCACCACUUGGAGUUCCAUUAUGUUCCGCUAGUUUAGGUGGUGGCCGCAAAGCUAUGUCAGUGGGGAACUCUGAUGAUUUUGUUAGUUAUCAUGACACUGGGGAAUUGUCUGACACGGAAUCCCUGAGGAGACGCGUGCAGCAUAUAGUGGCUACACAAGGGAUUGGAGGAGUCUCAGUUGAGUGUGCUAAUGUAUUAAACGUGAUGUUGGAUAUCUACUUGAAGCGGCUGAUUAAGUCUUGUAUCGAGCUGGUUGGAGCAAGGUCCACACUUGAGCCUCAUAUUCAUCUCAUCCAGAAGCAUCAGAUUCCAGACAAGGUCCUUAAUGGCAUGUGGCCUGCUAGUAAUCACUUGCAUAUGCGAAAUAAUGUCAUUGGAGGGAUGCCCGAGAAAAAAUUUCCAAUUUCCAUAUCUGCACCCGAUUUUAAGCUUGCAAUGGAGCUGAAUCCACAGCAACUUGGAGACGACUGGCCAUUGCUGCUUGAAAAGAUUUCUUUGAGUUCAUUUGAGAAAUAAAGGUGAUGGAUAUGCCUUGAUCAUGCCAAAUGUGUGUCCAUUCUGGUUCACAAGUUCCAGAAAGAUGUCGUUGGCAAUCGGCACUGGAUUGCCAUCUCGUCUUGAUCCCAUGAGGUGUCGGGUGGAUAAUGCAGAAAACCAGUUGAAGUACAUGGUCUCAGCACGGUGUGCAUUCUUCAGCUUGCACUGCAUGGGGCACAAUUUGGAGUACUAGCAACCACACAUCAGGAACUUGCAAUGAUAACCCAUUAUCAGUUGAUCUAUAACAGAUAUGCAAGUUCAAAAUCUUUGUAAUCCUCUUCCAUCGAUGUGAAACGUGGCCUUUUCCUAUUAUUUAUGGCUGAUGAGGAUGAUUUCAAGGAUGUUUCACGGGAUAACUGGCUGUAACUUGAUUUAAGGAAGAUAUCUUAAUUAAUUAACCAAUUGGUAUCAGCUUUGUGGUUGGUAUCAAUUGUUCAAUCUUUCAUUCACUUGGAGCAAAAAGUCCCAGAGGCAUGAGGUAGAGUUGACCUCUUGCUUGUUUCUAUUGAAGCAUAAG